AUCCUUGUACCACACUGAAUCGGCUCAGUUUCGUCGGAACUAUUGUCGAGGAGAGAGUUACUUCCUUCAGAAUUAUCGGGGUUCAGUAGAGUUUCUUCAAAUAGACUGUCUGAAGAUUGAGGCAUGUUGCAAAGCCAGCAGUUCCAGAGUGUCGUAUUGUACCUGUAGCUAGCCAGCUCUCUUCGGUUCAUUCCAAUGCACUUGAAAUCCCUUAGCACAGGUUGAGCAUUCGACGCCGCUUUGUUUUCGUUUCAUCACUUUGCUACAGGCGAAGCAAAUAGAUUUUGUCGUCUUUGAACUGGAGCCACAAAGGUUUCUUUUAGGACCAGGGUUACGUUAUAGGUCGCCAGCGAGAUACAGUAGACCAAGAGCCGUGCUAGAGCGUUUGAAUAGCUCUAAGGCCAAAGGGAUAGACGCAUACGAUGCCUACUCCGGGUCCUAAGAUCGUCUAAGAUCGCCCAAGAUCGCCCAAGAUCGCCCAAGAUCGCCCAAAAUCGCUCAAGAUUUUCCAUUAUUCAUUGAAUUAUUUUGGGGUAUUUAGCCCAAGAUUGACCAAAAUAACCGGAGAAUGCCUAAGAUCACCAUUAUUCACUCAUUAUCUUUUAAGGAUAUUGAUUUACUUCACAGGUAUAACCAUAAAAACAUAAAUAUUAUUAAUAUUAAAUAUUACUUAUUUUUUUGGUUUUAAGCUGAACUGUAUGUUGGAAAUGAAAAGUUGAACAAUAAAACAAGAGGACCGAUUGUA